AGAAACAUAUUUAUCGUUCAGGUUAUAUAACAUAAGCAUUUCUGAUAUGUAGAACAACAUAAAUAAAAAUAGUUGGUAGCAUCCAGUCGUUUUAUCAGUAUCUACUUUUCUUCAUGAAUAAAUAAAUACAAUAAUGUAUGCAUUCUUUUUGUCUUCGGAAAACAGUGACCAUAGUUGGAAAUUUAAAAUGUUCUCCAGCUUACUAUAUCCUUCUAAACGACAUAAUCAUUUCAGUUGCUGAAAAUCAGAGCAUGAUCAGUCCAUCUGACAUACUUGCAUCAUGUAAUGAACGGACGAGUAUUUUGGUCAAUGUAGGCGUAUAGCAGCAUUUCAGAAUGUAACCUUUUAAACUACACCCAGAUGUUCUGCCCAAGGUUACCAUAUCUGGUCACUCACCAAAAAACAAUAAUGUCAGAAAUCUUGCCAAAGCUUUUCCAUGGUUGUAGGGUAUAUAUAACCUCCUCGUAAUGUUUGAUAGGCAUAGUUGCAAAUUGCUCCACCUGCCUCUAUUUUUCGAAGUUCAGAACUGAAAAUAGCUAUGAAUAUGGGAUGCAGAUUUCCCCAUGUUGCAUUAGUCUUCCCAAAUUCUCAAAAUAAAAUAAAAUCAUCAACAUGUACAAAAUUUCCUAAAGACAUGGCAUAUACCAUGUACAAACAGCAAGAGACAAAUGAACUGUAACAUGGAUUUAUGAUCAUAUUUUUAAGCAACCAUGCUACAUCAUGGUCAUAUUUUGUGAUGCAUUUCUUCCUGGAAAUCAUAGGGGAUCUAUGCAACACUAAUAUGUGGUUGCGAAUUCUACAUUGCGAGGGAGAUAUAAUCAUGAAACAUCAAUGUUGCCGGUUCAUAUUACAUUGCGAGUGUCUGUACAACAGAGUAGUAAUUAAUAAUCAGUGGACUUAAGCUCUAACACGAUCGAAAAUGACAGCCAUCAAGAUCAUAACAAAUCGAGGUGGACGGUGGCAAGUAGGUCUCCGCACAACCAUGCAGACAACAAGUACAGGAGCUGCCUGCCUUAUCCCUGACAACACUUCAGUUUCAGAAACUAAACCAGAUACGUGCGCUUGUUCACGGACGCAGCGCCUUCAGCUGGUGUGUCUCCAGCAGGCAGCAGGACCCCGCUAACAAGGAGCUCAAAACAUUUCUCAUGCGAGUGGAGGUCCAAUGGAGUGAGCAAGAUGCAGUGAUCAGAAAAAUCUUCCUCUUCAACUGCAUCUUCCACCACUGUCCCUCCUAUCCUUUUGGUGCUGCUCUUGAUGCUGCUGCUUCCGUUCCUCAUGGGUGAGAGUCUGGUAAAAUUUUCUCCUUCCCCUCUGCCCCUGCUACUAGAUGUUGCCAUCAACUUGGGCCCGAGACAUUGAGGGCGUGCUGGGUGUCCACGAGAUUGGCCAGUACAUACGGCUCUGGCAUGCCAUCGCGCACACCACCCUGAGCAACACGCCUGAUCAGCUCGUCUGGAAGUGGACUACAAGUGGCUCAUACACCGCCAAAUCUUGCUACAAGGCCACCUUCCAGGGCUCAAUCCAAAGCAAGUCUUGGAAAUUCAUCUGGAAAAGCUGGGCGCCCCCUUGGGUACGCUUCUUCCACUGGCUCGCCGACCAAGACAGAUGCUGGACCGCCGACCGCCUGGCAUGCCGAGGUCUACAGCACCACAACCCCUGCCUCCUGUGCUCCCAGGAUCCCGAGACGACGGACCACCUGCUCGUCCGCUGCCCAUUCUCCCGGCAGGUUUGGCAUGAAAUCAUUGUCUGGCUCCGCAUGCCGUGCACAUCGCCAAGCCACGAAUCUUCCCUCCUGGAAUGGUGGCAUGCGGCCAAGCGGAGCACACCAACGCUCAUGCGCAAGGGCCUAGCCUCCAUGGCCCUCGUAACCCCAUGGUUGAUCUGAAAACACCGCAACGAUUGCGUCUUUAACGGCGCCCAGCCAUGUGUGCGUGACCCAGUCGCGAAGAUCAAGGAGGAGGCGGCGCUCUGGGCCAAGGCAGGAGCUGCCGGCCUGCGGGACACCAUGCCCCAAACAUGGGAUGUGCACUGAUUUCCUGUAACCACCCUGACCAUUGUACCUCCUAGGAGGCUUGUAACUUAAACCCUCACUUUUCAAUACAAAGAAACGCAAAGUCUUCUAGGAGGUGGUUCGUCCUUGUUCAACCAUCCCAACCUGCUACCUCUUUUUGAGAAUGCCAUAAUAGCAGUGAAGCUGUGAAGGUAACAUC